rnacentral:misc_RNA from 1 species
GAAAUGCGAUAAGUAGUGUGAAUUGCAGAAUUCAGAGAAUCAUCGAAUCUUUGAACGCACAUUGCGCCCUUUGGUAUUCCAAAGGGCAUGCCUGUUCGAGCGUCAUUUGUACCCUCAAGCUUUGCUUGGUGUUGGGCGUCUUGUCUCCAGUUCGCUGGAGACUCGCCUUAAAGUAAUUGGCAGCCGGCCUACUGGUUUCGGAGCGCAGCACAAGUCGCGCUCUCUUCCAGCCAAGGUCAGCAUCCACAAAGCCUUUUUUCAACUUUUGACCUCGGAUCAGGUAGGGAUACCCGCUGAACUUAAGC